rnacentral:ncRNA from 1 species
UCUUAUCGAGAGAGGUGGAGGGACUGGCCCGAUGAAGCCCAGCAACCAUCAAGCCUACACGCUUGAAAGGUGCUAAUUCCUGCAGAAUGUUACGAUUCUGACAGAUGAGA